UACGUAGGUGGCAAGCGUGUCCGGAUUUAUUGGGUUUAAAGGGUGCGUAGGCGGUCUUAUAAGUCAGUGGUGAAAUACGGCAGCUCAACUGUCGAGGUGCCAUUGAUACUGUAGGACUUGAGUACAGACGAGGUAGGCGGAAUUGACGGUGUAGCGGUGAAAUGCUUAGAUAUCGUCAAGAACACCGAAUAGCGAAGGCAGCUUACUAGGCUGUAACUGACGCUGAAGGC
rnacentral:rRNA from 1 species